CCUGGCUCAGGAUGAACGCUGGCGGCGUGCCUAAUACAUGCAAGUCGAGCGAACGGACGAGAAGCUUGCUUCUCUGAUGUUAGCGGCGGACGGGUGAGUAACACGUGGAUAACCUACCUAUAAGACUGGGAUAACUUCGGGAAACCGGAGCUAAUACCGGAUAAUAUUUUGAACCGCAUGGUUCAAAAGUGAAAGACGGUCUUGCUGUCACUUAUAGAUGGAUCCGCGCUGCAUUAGCUAGUUGGUAAGGUAACGGCUUACCAAGGCAACGAUGCAUAGCCGACCUGAGAGGGUGAUCGGCCACACUGGAACUGAGACACGGUCCAGACUCCUACGGGAGGCAGCAGUAGGGAAUCUUCCGCAAUGGGCGAAAGCCUGACGGAGCAACGCCGCGUGAGUGAUGAAGGUCUUCGGAUCGUAAAACUCUGUUAUUAGGGAAGAACAUAUGUGUAAGUAACUGUGCACAUCUUGACGGUACCUAAUCAGAAAGCCACGGCUAACUACGUGCCAGCAGCCGCGGUAAUACGUAGGUGGCAAGCGUUAUCCGGAAUUAUUGGGCGUAAAGCGCGCGUAGGCGGUUUUUUAAGUCUGAUGUGAAAGCCCACGGCUCAACCGUGGAGGGUCAUUGGAAACUGGAAAACUUGAGUGCAGAAGAGGAAAGUGGAAUUCCAUGUGUAGCGGUGAAAUGCGCAGAGAUAUGGAGGAACACCAGUGGCGAAGGCGACUUUCUGGUCUGUAACUGACGCUGAUGUGCGAAAGCGUGGGGAUCAAACAGGAUUAGAUACCCUGGUAGUCCACGCCGUAAACGAUGAGUGCUAAGUGUUAGGGGGUUUCCGCCCCUUAGUGCUGCAGCUAACGCAUUAAGCACUCCGCCUGGGGAGUACGACCGCAAGGUUGAAACUCAAAGGAAUUGACGGGGACCCGCACAAGCGGUGGAGCAUGUGGUUUAAUUCGAAGCAACGCGAAGAACCUUACCAAAUCUUGACAUCCUUUGACAACUCUAGAGAUAGAGCUUUCCCCUUCGGGGGACAAAGUGACAGGUGGUGCAUGGUUGUCGUCAGCUCGUGUCGUGAGAUGUUGGGUUAAGUCCCGCAACGAGCGCAACCCUUAAGCUUAGUUGCCAUCAUUAAGUUGGGCACUCUAAGUUGACUGCCGGUGACAAACCGGAGGAAGGU
rnacentral:rRNA from 1 species